rnacentral:rRNA from 1 species
UACGGGGGGGGCAAGCGUUGUUCGGAAUUACUGGGCGUAAAGGGCUCGUAGGCGGCCAACUAAGUCGGAUGUGAAAUCCCCAGGCUCAACCUGGGAACUGCAUCCGAUACUGGAUGGCUUGAAUCCGGGAGAGGGAUGCAGAAUUCCAGGUGUAGCGGUGAAAUGCGUAGAUAUCUGGAGGAAUACCGAUGGCGAAGGCAGCCCCCUGGGAUGACACUGACGCUCAUGCACGAAAGCGUGGGGAGCAAACAGG